AAAAAGAUAAGCUAAAUUUAAGCUAAUGGAUUCAUAAUCCAUCAAUAAAAAUUAUUUUUUUUCUUUUUA
rnacentral:tRNA from 1 species